GACGAACGCUGGCGGCGUGCUUAACACAUGCAAGUCGAACGGUAAGGCCCUUCGGGGUACACGAGUGGCGAACGGGUGAGUAACACGUGGGUGAUCUGCCCUGCACUUCGGGAUAAGCCUGGGAAACUGGGUCUAAUACCGGAUAGGACUCCGGACUGCAUGGUCGGGGGUGGAAAGCUUUUGCGGUGUGGGAUGGGCCCGCGGCCUAUCAGCUUGUUGGUGGGGUGAUGGCCUACCAAGGCGAGGACGGGUAGCCGGCCUGAGAGGGUGACCGGCCACACUGGGACUGAGAUACGGCCCAGACUCCUACGGGAGGCAGCAGUGGGGAAUAUUGCACAAUGGGCGCAAGCCUGAUGCAGCGACGCCGCGUGAGGGAUGACGGCCUUCGGGUUGUGAACCUCUUUCAGCAUCGACGAAGCGAAAGUGACGGUAGGUGCAGAAGAAGGACCGGCCAACUACGUGCCAGCCGCCGCGGUAA
rnacentral:rRNA from 1 species